rnacentral:rRNA from 1 species
AUUGACGCUCGCGCAGUGCCUACACAUGCAAGUCGAACGGCAGCACGGGACUUCGGUCUAGGUGGCGAGUGGCGAACGGGUGAGUAAUACAUCGGAACGUGCCUAGUAGUGGGGGAUAACUACUCGAAAGAGUGGCUAAUACCGCAUGAGAUCUACGGAUGAAAGCAGGGGAUCGCAAGACCUUGUGCUACUAGAGCGGCCGAUGGCAGAUUAGGUAGUUGGUGGGAUAAAAGCUUACCAAGCCAACGAUCUGUAGCUGGUCUGAGAGGACGAUCAGCCACACUGGGACUGAGACACGGCCCAG